rfam:Ictidomys tridecemlineatus contig013384, whole genome shotgun sequence.
GGGGAUGUAGCUCAGUGGGAGAGCACUUGCCUAGCAUGCAUGAGGCCCUGGGUUUGAUCUCUAGCACCCACA